CCUACGGGAGGCAGCAGUGGGGAAUAUUGGACAAUGGGCGAAAGCCUGAUCCAGCCAUGCCGCGUGUGUGAAGAAGGCCUUCGGGUUGUAAAGCACUUUCAGUGGGGAAGAAAGCCUUGGGGCUAAUACCCUCGAGGAAGGACAUCACCCACAGAAGAAGCACCGGCUAACUCCGUGCCAGCAGCCGCGGUAAUACGGAGGGUGCGAGCGUUAAUCGGAAUUACUGGGCGUAAAGCGCGCGUAGGCGGUCUGAUAAGCCGGUUGUGAAAGCCCCGGGCUCAACCUGGGAACGGCAUCCGGAACUGUCAGGCUAGAGUGCAGGAGAGGAAGGUAGAAUUCCCGGUGUAGCGGUGAAAUGCGUAGAGAUCGGGAGGAAUACCAGUGGCGAAGGCGGCCUUCUGGACUAACACUGACGCUGAGGUGCGAAAGCGUGGGUAGCAAACAGGAUUAGAUACCCCGGUAGUC
rnacentral:rRNA from 1 species